GUUGGUGCCACCAGGUGCUUGCGCUCAUCUCUUCCAAGCCUCCGUGUUAUUGCUCAGGUUUUGCUGCUGGAGGCCUGAGCUGCAGGACAAGCCAUGCUCUGACUGCGGGCAGUGGUGGAAGUAGCUCAGCAGUCCACAGUCUGAAAAACAAUGCCCUGCGAUGCUGACUAACUGCUGCAGCUUGAUUUGCUGCACCAGCCGAGCUCCUGGAUGGAUCUGGAUGUUAUUUGCAUCUCGUCUGAUGGCAACAGCAAAGUCCUUAUGAGCAGCAUCCGGUCUGCCUGCCAAGUCUGAGCUGGUCCUCUGCUGAAUUAAUAG
ensembl:lncRNA